rnacentral:rRNA from 1 species
CCUACGGGAGGCAGCAGUGAGGAAUAUUGGUCAAUGGGCGCGAGCCUGAACCAGCAAAGUAGCGUGAAGGAUGACUGCCCUACGGGUGGUAAACUUCUUUUAUAAAGGUAUACAGUGUGGCACGUGUGCCUUUUUGUGUGUACUUUAUGAAUGAGCAUCGGCUAACUCGGUUCCAGCAGCCGCGGUAAUACGGAGGAGCCGAGCGUUAUCCGGAUUUCUUGGGUGUAUAGGGAGAGUAGAUGGGUUAGUAAGGCAGUUGUGCAAGUCUGCGGCUCCACCGUAAAGUUACAAUUGAUACUGGUAGAGUAGAGUGCAGUAGAGGUAGGUGGAAUGCGUAGUGGAGCGGUGGAAUGCUUAGAUAUUAGGAGGAAC